ACCAGCGUGUCUGCAGCAUUCUGCAUCUGUCUUUUGACUGAAGAACAUUGGAUAUUUUGUGGGAAAAUUUUGAAAAUUUUCAGUUUAAAGUUUAGGAAAUGGGACCCAAGAAGAAGUGAACAAAAGUGAAGUAAUGCAGCCUGAAAAAGCAGAGGGGGAGGAGGAGGAAGUAUUUGAUGAUGAUGGUCGCAGCACCGGCGAGCCCUGCACGGACAGGGAGAAGUAUGCUGUGCCUUCAAGCCGGCAGAAGGCACAGCACCCUGCCAGAGGUAUUUUCACAGCUAAUGACGCCCAGAAGUGAGGACAUUGCAUACCCAUCAUCACUGUCAGGCCAUUGUGCCAUGCUCAGUGAUGAGGACAAGGACAUCUCGACACCCUGUCCCACCAUUAAGCAGGAGUAGGAGCAGGACAGUAGCUCGGAGUCAGAGUGUGUUUCAGUGCCCAAACUGUUGGGCUAUUUAGUUGGGAUUUUUUUUUACAAUGUAAUAAAAUGCGUUAUUCCCUUUUA